UUUUGGGGCAAUGCACCUGGAAGAUUGACUACAGUCAUUCUAAUCUCUGACACAGAAAGGGCAUUCAAUCAGAUUAUGUGAAAGCAAAGUUCAAACUCUAGGCUUUGAUGCUCUGUUAAUCAGGUGGAGGGAGCAAUGGAGGGAGCAACAGGAUACAUACCAGGAGCUUAAAAAUGGGCAAUCAAAUGCCAAAUCUCACCAGUCUGGUCUCAGCAGUCAAGCAGAAGAUGUGGUUCGCUUCUUUUUCGGAAUGGAGUUGCUACACGUUGGCGUGAUGUGCUUUGACGCACUUCCGGAAAGAAUCUACACUCGGAUUUAUUGCUCAAGAAAUGCUGUUAAGAAACAUCGCAAAAUUGAUUCACGUAGUUAGGAGAGCGAUGGAACUACCUUAUAAACCGCCUUGGGCCUACUGUCCCUCUAUGUCUACUUCAUUGAGUAAUCUUCUCAACGAGUUUCCAUCUCGCUUCUGGAUCAGACGGUCGUGGGUUUAAGGCCCACUUUGGGACUAGGAAU